AAAGAAAUGAAGACUCUGAUCCCCCACUACUCCUCCAUCCACUGUCCCACUGACCAGCCUUCUUUCAAACAGAUCUCCUUUACAGAAAAGGGCUAAGAUGAGAAGAAACCACUCAAAGAAAAAGGCAAGACCCCCGUCCUGCCACUCCAGUGAGAAACACAUGGAAAGGCAGGGUAAGGCCUUGCGCUGUUCCUAUGAAGAGACCUGUGAUGCCCACCACGGAGGGCCUUUCAUAGUUUACACUAGGUGUAGCAAGUGGCACAGUUAUUGGGCCCGAGGAGUUCAAUAGUCAUCACUUCGGAAAGCUUUGUGACCUUGCAAUGUGUGUCAAAGUCCACUUAUCAAAAUCUAUCCCCAGGUGUUGGUUCAGCAGGUCCAUUUUCCACUGACCUGGGAGAAACUCACUCAGCUUGCCUGGCUCUGGGGCCUCUUUGUGCCCAGGAGCAGACCUUCUAUGCCAUGACCACCCAGGCAGGUUGUGUCUUCCCUGCUAAGAAGUGGCUUGUUUCAGCCACACUGCCUGGCCCUGAGAAUUCAGCUCUGGAUAGAGAAGACCACCCCUUGCCUGGGCAGGAAAUAACUGAGCCUGUCAGUGGAUUAGAUGAGGCUUGAGCU
rnacentral:lncRNA from 1 species